UGGUAGGUCCAUCAGAGUCGUUGUAUAGGCAAGGGCUCUAAACCACCUAAAGGUGCUGUGAGGGCAACGUUGCGGUACUGAGCGUUUAGGAGAAUCUAACCCAUGAGGUUAGCU
rnacentral:ncRNA from 1 species